CUGCAAAGUGCAUGGAUGAGAAAACAGUCAACCAAGAAUCUUAUAGCCAGCAAAACUAUCUUUCAAUAAUGAAGGCCAAAUAAAGACAUUCCCAGAUAAACAAAAG